rnacentral:lncRNA from 1 species
UGCAACUAUAAAAUCCAUUUACAACUGCCUAGCUUGUGUCUGAGAAGCUCUGUUGGCUUGUGUUCUUAAUUUUGACUCUACUAACAUCUAAAUUUUGUCAAUCAUUUCUUCAAUUUCUUCCCUCAAAUCAUUCACUCAAAUUUUGCACUCAAAACUGUUCAGUCUCUAAAUAUUUUUAUAUCUUCUAAGGUUAGUAUAGCCAGCAGUUUCCAUUUAUAUUCCAUUGAGAUCUAAUAAAAUUCUGAAGGUUAUUUCAUUUGUGUUGUUUAUUUAACUGUUUUGUUUUUGUACUUGGAUAUUAAAGCUUGAUUAUUGACUUGUAAUGUGGUCAAUUUUGGAGAGUGUUCCAAGUGUCACAGAGAAAAUGUGUGUUUUCAUUUUCAUCCUUGAAUACUAUGAAUAUUUUUAACUAUAUUUGAUUUAUUGCUUAGUUUAAUUCUGAGGUUUCUUUACAGAUUUUUAAUUUAAAGAAUGUUUCUAAAGAUGAGGAUUGGGUUUUCAAUCACUCAUCAGUAUUGUGCCUGGACCUAUGCAGUAUUUUAUUCCCCUGAGUUUUUGUUUUAUGAAAUUGGUCCAGAGAUUUAGUGCAUCAAUGGUUAUAUCUUCUUGGUGAAUUGUUUCUUUCUUAAGAAUUCAAUGUCCUUCUUUAUAUUAUCUUAUCUGUUUUAGUUUGAAGUUUGCUACAACUUCUCUUUGUUUGGUAAUCUUUUUAUGUUGCCAUUUACAAUGUUGGAAUAUCUUUUCCGAUCUUUGUGUCCUUUUUGGAAAACCAGAUAACUAGAUCAUGUUUUCUAAUUUAUCAUGUUAGUUUUCUUUAGGUAAUUGAAAAGUUAGGCCGGGCAUGGUUAAAAGUUAGGAAUAUUUGCAUUCAGAGUUAUAAUUGAGAAAUAUUUUCCAUUGUUUAGUUUCUACUGUUUGUUGUUAUGGUUAGUUGGUUGGUUGGUAAUUCUUUUCUUCUUCUCCAAGUAAUUUUAGAUGUUAAGCGAUAUACUUUAUUGGACAUGAUUCUUCCUUCCCUGUUCUCGGUUUCUUCCAUUAUUCCCAUGAAUUGUAUUUUAACGAUCAAUACUAUGUGUAAUAUUGCCCUUCUGUCCAUAGCAUUCAAGAAUUUCCCAGCAGUGCAGGAUUAGUUGUCAUACUAAGCUUGUGUUUGUCCUGAAAUAAUUGUAAUUCUAUAUUUCAAUAGGUAAUUUGUCCUAGUAUAGUAACUUGAUUUACACUAUUUCAAAGCAAGUUAUAUAUUAUUGUGGACUUCUUAGUAUUUUUUUGAUUUAUUAUUCUGAUGUUUCGGCCUUUGUAUGAAAGUGGACAUUUUUCUCUUCAGCUUUCAGUACUACUUCAUUGCUUUGUGUAGUUGACUAAGAAGAUAGAGAAGUUGCUUUAAUAUCUUAGAGAAUUUUAAAAGUGUGCCUUGUACUUCUUAAUUUUCCAUUUAUAUUUUUGUUUUUGUUUUUUUUUUUUUUGAAAAUUGUACCCUAGAGUGGAACUGUUUUUCUUCUCUGUCUGUCUGUCUGUCUGUCUGUCUGUCUGUCUGUCUGUCUGUCUCCUCCCUGUCUCUCUCCUCUCUCUGUAACUCUGUCUAUCUAUUAGCUUGCUCACUAUGGGCAAAUGCUCUAUUCACCAUGCACUGUCCCCUGUGGCUCUCUGGUGGAGACUUUAUCCAUCUCUGUUUAUUCACACAUUCACUGUUCACCUUCAGUUGUGAAUUAACUACUCAGCAGGAAGUCCUUUUGCAUGAAUGCACAUUUCUGAUGAUAAUAGGCUUGUGUUUGUGGUUUGAGUCACUCAAGAAUGAAUGCCUUCGAUAAAUCUAGAGACUUGCAUAUCUGAAUUCCCUCUAUGUCUUAAAGAGAAUUGGCAUGGCCACUUUUUUUGAUUACUAUUCCAAUUGGAAGAGUGGUAAUUUAUUUUCAAAACUUUAAUGAAAGUGAGUAGGCCCUCUUAUGUUCAGCCAGGUUUUUGCCACCCAGUUUGGUUCACCUUAGAAGCAAAUGGAUUUUCUAGUGUUCUUUAUGUAGAUGCAGUCAGUAGGACUGAAAGCUUCUACGUUUUCUUUCCUAAACACUUUUUAAAUUUUUAGUCAUAUUUUAAGAUCUUUGACAUAUCAGCUCUCAGUAAUUUAAUAAACUCAGAUUUCCAGAAACU